GCGUCAGAGCUGGGAAGUGCCGGGCCGGCGGAGAGGGGAGCCCGGGCGCACGGGCCAGGCCGCGGGCUGUCCCAGGGAGCCCCGAGGGCGCGGUGCGCGGGCGCAGGUCGGGCGCAGGCGGGGUGACCCGGGGAAGGGGCGCGCACAGAGACAGAGGGAGCCAGCCGGGCCCCACGGUGUCCUCGGACGCCUCCGAAAUCUCCCUGCGUGUUUGUUUCUUCGGAGCUUCACCGGAGCCUGACUCUGGAACCGGCCUGUCUGCCUGCUGCAGUCUGUCAUUCAACAUUUAUUCAACCAAAAAUACUAAGUCAGCUCUAUACAAACUAAUGGAAGGAUACAGCUAUGCAAAUAUAGAACACUAAAGUGUUACAUGACAGAUGUAUGAGUGACCCCCAUCUCACUGUGGAAGAUGCAACAGUUGAAAGAAAUGGAGCCUGUGAAAGCACUUUGUGAACCCCAGAGGUACUACUUUAUAAAAUGAAUAUGUGUGUUUAAGAGAUAGAAAUGUAAAGCCCUUUCUUCUCACAAACAUGAGACCAGGGCUGGAAUAGGAGUCCUGCUGGACUUCCCAGCAUGCUGGAGUUGGUAAAAGAGAGCUAGAACUCGUGUCAUCUCCCACUGUUUGGUCAACAAAUAUGGGGAAGAUGAGUUAUUUUCUAAAUAUCUUCUCUGUGCUUAAAAAUUUGCAGCCACAACAGGGCUCUCAAGUCUGAACUUUGCAAAGUCUAAAAAUGUAUUCUCUCUCUGACUUGGUAAAAGCAUUGUCUAUCCAUAAGUCCUCCUGGCCCAAAUUUUACUCCUCCCUGCCUCUGAAAGGCAGAGAGUAUGGCACUAAUAUUUAUCAAACUAUACAUCAAAUAUUACUGCUAAAUUAGAUAUGCAUUAUUUCAUUUAAACCAUUCAGCAACCCUGAAAGGUAGGCAUUAUUAUCCUCAAUUUGCAAGUGAGGAAACUGAGAUUUAGUGAUGUUAUAAGGCUGCCUAAGCUAGCAAAUGGUGAAGUCAUGUUUCAAACCUAGGUCUGGCUUACUUAAAAUGAAAAGUCAACAUUUUUUGAGAAAUUACUAUGUACCAGGCAUUCAUGUUUCUUGAUCCUUGCAGUAACUGUUUGUAUCUCAGUUUUACAAAUGUCAUUUGGCCAAAGGUAAAUUGGAAAUAUUAAAGUGGGCUCUGG
rnacentral:lncRNA from 10 species